rnacentral:rRNA from 1 species
UACGGAGGAUCCAAGCGUUAUCCGGAUUUAUUGGGUUUAAAGGGUGCGUAGGCGGAUUGAUAAGUUAGAGGUGAAAUGUCCGAGCUCAACUCGGGAACUGCCUCUAAUACUGUUGAUCUAGAGAGUAGAUGCGGUAGGCGGAAUGUAUGGUGUAGCGGUGAAAUGCUUAGAGAUCAUACAGAACACCGAUUGUGAAGGCAGCUUACCAAUCUAUAUCUGACGUUGAGGCACGAAAGCGUGGGGAGCAAACAGG